UACAGAGGUGGCAAGCGUUGUUCGGAAUUACUGGGCGUAAAGGGCGAGUAGGUGGCCACUUAAGUCAGACGUGAAAUCCCUCAGCUUAACUGGGGAACUGCGUCUGAUACUGGGUGGCUUGAGUGCAGGAGAGGGAUGCGGAAUUCCAGGUGUAGCGGUGAAAUGCGUAGAUAUCCGGGGGAACACCGGUGGCGAAGGCGGCUUCCUGGACCGACACUGACGCUGAGGCGCGAAAGCUAGGGGAGCAAACGGG
rnacentral:rRNA from 1 species